GCUAGUAUACCAAGAACAGUCGAUUAAACACAAGAGCUACAAAUAAAUGAUUCACUCAAAGUAUAUGGAAGUUUCCAUAGAGUUGUAGUAGUAUCUAAAGAAAGGCAUACAGAAAAUUCUAUAAAUAACAACAUAUGGUCACAACAGUCAGAUUCAUAGCAAAAUAGGCACACAAUGAGGCUCAAACCUAAAACGUAUUCAGAUGCUAGAGGUACAGGACUAAUCCACCAAGAAAAUUAAGAAUCAACAUAGAAGUGUAGACCAUAGUGAAAAAGACAUACUAGCCUAACACAAAUUAAGAACAAAGUAGUAAACUAUGUCAUGUAAAAUGCAUUCAACCAUCAUAGAAUAACAAAGGAGUAUUGAGAAUUAUCAUAAUACUACAAUAUCAGG
rnacentral:lncRNA from 1 species